CUAAGCAAUUAGAAGAGCGCGGAAUUGGACCUCCCUCAAAUAGAUGGAUCUGGGAUUGAUUGUGGAACCGAGCAUAGAGAACCGGGGGCGGGCAGGAAGAUAGGCUAGGCGGAGUAGUCGCUCUGGAGCAGGUUCUUCGACUGGAUCAAUGCAUGUAUGAACCCUAAAAAAAUCCCGAAGGUCUAGUCUAGAAAAAACCCGGAUUUUGUUGGGUUAGCUUUUUGGUAGGAAAGGCGGCCGAGCAUAAAGAACCGGGGGCGGACAGGAAGAUAGGCUAGGCGGAGUAGUCGCUCUGGAGCAGGUUCUUCGACUGGAUCAAUGCUUGUAUGAACCCUAAAAAAAUCCCGAAGGUCUAGUCUAGAAAAAACCCGGAUUUUGUUGGGUUAGCUUUUUGGUAGGAAAGGCGGUCACAGGAAGAAAUGCCCUACCAAUGAAUAGAUUAGUCUACUAACGUCAACAAUCUCUUU
rnacentral:lncRNA from 1 species